UGGUUGGUCAUGGGGAGGUGUUUGUAGGUGAUGUUAAGGAGGUUCUGUUUAUUGUUGGUUUUGCAGCAAAAGAAAAGCUGAGAGUAAGGAAACCAAAAAAUAUGAGGGUGACUGAAAGAAAAAUGAAAAAAAUGGAAGUAGAGAGAGGUAAGGUUGAAGAAAAUGAUAUGGUGAUUGUUGUCAACGUCUUAUCCUAUUGGUGACUUUUUUCUAUUUUUUUUGUUUUGAUUUUUGUGAUUUUGAAUUUUAGAGAGAGAGAGAGAGAGAGAGAGUAUCAAGUUGAUGUGAAUGAAGGUGGCGUGCUUUUUUCCUAUACACAUUUUCUCCUCUCCACGUUUAUUCCCUUUUCUUUU
rnacentral:lncRNA from 1 species